AUUGAACGCUGGCGGCAUGCCCUACACAUGCAAGUCGAACGGUAACAGGUCUUCGGACGCUGACGAGUGGCAAACGGGUGAGUAAUACAUCGGAACGUGCCCAGUCGUGGGGGAUAACUACUCGAAAGAGUAGCUAAUACCGCAUACGAUCUGAGGAUGAAAGCGGGGGACCUUCGGGCCUCGCGCGAUUGGAGCGGCCGAUGGCAGAUUAGGUAGUUGGUGGGAUAAAAGCUUACCAAGCCGACGAUCUGUAGCUGGUCUGAGAGGACGACCAGCCACACUGGGACUGAGACACGGCCCAGACUCCUACGGGAGGCAGCAGUGGGGAAUUUUGGACAAUGGGCGAAAGCCUGAUCCAGCAAUGCCGCGUGCAGGAUGAAGGCCUUCGGGUUGUAAACUGCUUUUGUACGGAACGAAAAAGCUU
rnacentral:rRNA from 1 species